rnacentral:rRNA from 1 species
GAUGAACGCUGGCGGCGUGCCUAACACAUGCAAGUCGAGCGGAAGGACGAGGAUCUUGCUUCUUUCUCGUUAGCGGAGGAGGGGAGUGUAACAUGUGUAAACCCCACCUAUAUGUCUGGGAACACUUGGGGAAACCGGCGAUUAACCCGGAUAAUCUUCUGAAGCGUAGGGUGGAAUAGUAAAAGACGGCGUUUCGGGCUCUACUCGAUGGUUCUGCGCUGGAUUAGCUAGUUGGUAAGGUAACGGCUUACCAAGGCAACGAUGCAUAGCAGAAUUGACAGGGUGAUCGGCCACACUGGAACUUAGACACGGUCUAGACUCCUACGGGAGGCAGCAGUAGGGAAUCUUCCGCAAUGGGCGAAAGCCUGACGGAGCAACGCCGCGUGAGUGAUGAAGGUCUUCGGAUCGUAAAACUCUGUUAUUAGGGAAGAACAGAUGUGUAAGUAACUGUGCACAUCUUGACGGUACCUAAUCAGAAAGCCACGGCUAACUACGUG